GAUGAACGCUGGCGGCGUGCCUAAUACAUGCAAGUCGAGCGAACAGACGAGGAGCUUGCUCCUCUGACGUUAGCGGCGGACGGGUGAGUAACACGUGGAUAACCUACCUAUAAGACUGGGAUAACUUCGGGAAACCGGAGCUAAUACCGGAGAAUAUAUUGAACCGCAUGGUUCAAUAGUGAAAGACGGUUUUGCGGGCACUUAUCGAUGGAUCCGCGCCGCAUUAGCUAGUUGGUAAGGUAACGGCUUACCAAGGCAACGAUGCGUAGCCGACGUGAGAGGGUGAUCGGCCACCCUGGAACUGAGGCACGGUCCAGACUCCUACGGGAGGCAGCAGUAGGGAAUCUUCCGCAAUGGGCGAAAGCCUGACGGAGCAACGCCGCGUGAGUGAUGAAGGUCUUCGGAUCGUAAAACUCUGUUAUUAGGGAAGAACAAAUGUGUAAGUAACUAUGCACGUCUUGACGGUACCUAAUCAGAAAGCCACGGCUAACUACGUG
rnacentral:rRNA from 1 species